rnacentral:rRNA from 1 species
GUGGGGAAUCUUGCGCAAUGGGCGAAAGCCUGACGCAGCCAUGCCGCGUGAAUGAUGAAGGUCUUAGGAUUGUAAAAUUCUUUCACCGGGGACGAUAAUGACGGUACCCGGAGAAGAAGCUCCGGCUAACUCCGUGCCAGCAGCCGCGGUAAUACGGAGGGUGCAAGCGUUAUCCGGAAUCACUGGGUUUAAAGGGUACGUAGGCGGUUAAUUAAGUCAGUAGUGAAAGACUGUCGCUCAACGACGGAUGUGCUAUUGAUACUGGUUAUCUUGAAUCAGGUUAGAGUUGGCGGAAUGGGUCAUGUAGCGGUGAAAUGCUUAGAUAUGACUUGGAACACCGAUAGCGAAGGCAGCUGACUGAGCCUUGAUUGACGCUGAGGUACGAAAGUGUGGGUAGCGAACAGGAUUAGAAACCCCUGUAGUCC